GACGAACGCUGGCGGCGUGCCUAACACAUGCAAGUCGAACGAGUGGCGGACGGGCGAGUACUGUCUGGGAAACUGCCUGUUGGAGGGGGAUAACUACUGGAAACGGUAGCUAAUACCGCAUACCAUCAGAUGUGCCCAGAUGGGAUUAGCUUGUUGGUGGGGUAACGGCUCACCAAGGCGACGAUCCCUAGCUGGUCUGAGAGGAUGACCAGCCACACUGGAACGGUGCCACGGUCCAGCCUCCUACGGGAGGCAGCAGUGGUGAAUAUUGCAAAAUGGGGGCAAGCCGGAAGCGGCCAAGCGGGGAGAAGGGACAAGGACUUCGGGUUGGACACUGCUUUCAGAGGAGGGGCCUUACCCGGAGAAGAAGCCCCGGCUAUCUCCGUGACAGCAGCCGCGGUAAUAC
rnacentral:rRNA from 1 species